AUACGUAGGUGGCAAGCGUUGUCCGGAUUUACUGGGCGUAAAGGGAGCGUAGGCGGACUUUUAAGUGAGAUGUGAAAUACCCGGGCUCAACCUGGGUGCUGCAUUUCAAACUGGAAGUCUAGAGUGCAGGAGAGGAGAGUGGAAUUCCUAGUGUAGCGGUGAAAUGCGUAGAGAUUAGGAAGAACACCAGUGGCGAAGGCGACUCUCUGGACUGUAACUGACGCGGAGGCUCGAAAGCGGGGGGAGCAAACAGGAUUAGAUACCCUGGUAGUCCACGCCGUAAGCGAUGAAUACUAGGUGUAGGGGUUGUCAUGACCUCUGUGCCGCCGCUAACGCAUUAAGUAUUCCGCCUGGGGAGUACGGUCGCAAGAUUAAA
rnacentral:rRNA from 1 species